rnacentral:hammerhead_ribozyme from 1 species
AUCCAGCUGACGAGUCCCAAAAUAGAACAAAACACGCGUCAUGGAU